AAUACCGGAGAAUGUUAUCACGGGAGACACACGGCGGGUGCUAACGUCCGUCGUGAAGAGGGAAACAACCCAGACCGCCAGCUAAGGUCCCAAAGUCAUGGUUAAGUGGGAAACGAUGUGGGAAGGCCCAGACAGCCAGGAUGUUGGCUUAGAAGCAGCCAUCAUUUAAAGAAAGCGUAAUAGCUCACUGGUCGAGUCGGCCUGCGCGGAAGAUGUAACGGGGCUAAACCAUGCACCGAAGCUGCGGCAGCGACGCUGAUGCGUUGUUGGGUAGGGGAGCGUUCUGUAAGCCUGCGAAGGUGGCCUGUGAGGGUUGCUGGAGGUAUCAGAAGUGCGAAUGCUGACAUAAGUAACGAUAAAGCGGGUGAAAAGCCCGCUCGCCGGAAGACCAAGGGUUCCUGUCCAACGUUAAUCGGGGCAGGGUGAGUCGACCCCUAAGGCGAGGCCGAAAGGCGUAGUCGAUGGGAAACGGGUUAAUAUUCCCGUACUUGGUGUUACUGCGAAGGGGGGACGGAGAAGGCUAUGUUGGCCGGGCGACGGUUGUCCCGGUUUAAGCGUGUAGGUGUGUGUUUCAGGUAAAUCCGGUUCACUUUAACACUGAGGCGUGACGACGAGGCACUACGGUGCUGAAGCAACAAAUGCCCUGCUUCCAGGAAAAGCCUCUAAGCAUCAGGUAACAUCAAAUCGUACCCCAAACCGACACAGGUGGUCAGGUAGAGAAUACCAAGGCGCUUGAGAGAACUCGGGUGAAGGAACUAGGCAAAAUGGUGCCGUAACUUCGGGAGAAGGCACGCUGACACGUAGGUGAAGUGAUUUACUCAUGGAGCUGAAGUCAGUCGAAGAUACCAGCUGGCUGCAACUGUUUAUUAAAAACACAGCACUGUGCAAACACGAAAGUGGACGUAUACGGUGUGACGCCUGCCCGGUGCCGGAAGGUUAAUUGAUGGGGUCAGCGCAAGCGAAGCUCCUGAUCGAAGCCCCGGUAAACGGCGGCCGUAACUAUAACGGUCCUAAGGUAGCGAAAUUCCUUGUCGGGUAAGUUCCGACCUGCACGAAUGGCGUAAUGAUGGCCAGGCUGUCUCCACCCGAGACUCAGUGAAAUUGAACUCGCUGUGAAGAUGCAGUGUACCCGCGGCAAGACGGAAAGACCCCGUGAACCUUUACUAUAGCUUGACACUGAACAUUGAGCCUUGAUGUGUAGGAUAGGUGGGAGGCUUUGAAGUGUGGACGCCAGUCUGCAUGGAGCCGACCUUGAAAUACCACCCUUUAAUGUUU
rnacentral:rRNA from 1 species